rnacentral:rRNA from 1 species
UCUCUCCUGGAAAACGGGUGGUAAUGCCGGAUGCUCCAGUUGAUCGCAUGGUCUUCUGGGAAAGCUUUCGCGGUAUGGGAUGGGGUCGCGUCCUAUCAGCUUGACGGCGGGGUAACGGCCCACCGUGGCUUCGACGGGUAGCCGGCCUGAGAGGGCGACCGGCCACAUUGGGACUGAGAUACGGCCCAGACUCCUACGGGAGGCAGCAGUGGGGAAUAUUGCACAAUGGGCGCAAGCCUGAUGCAGCGACGCCGCGUGAGGGAUGGAGGCCUUCGGGUUGUAAACCUCUUUUAUCGGGGAGCAAGCGAGAGUGAGUUUACCCGUUGAAUAAGCACCGGCUAACUACGUGCCAGCAGCCGCGGUAAUACGUAGGGUGCAAGCGUUAUCCGGAAUUAUUGGGCGUAAAGGGCUCGUAGGCGGUUCGUCGCGUCCGGUGUGAAAGUCCAUCGCUUAACGGUGGAUCCGCGCCGGGUACGGGCGGGCUUGAGUGCGGUAGGGGAGACUGGAAUUCCCGGUGUAACGGUGGAAUGUGUAGAUAUCGGGAAAAGAACACCACGCG